GAUCAAGCGUAUGGCAGGCAUGAAGGAGACUCAGCUGAGCGCCGAAAUCGAGCUGCUCCAGACGGAUGCCAAGAAGAAAAUGGAACAGACCCCCAAUUUCCAUGAACUUUGAGGUUCCCUUUGCUCCUUCUGGGCUCAAGGUGCGCUACCUCAAGGUGUUUGAGUCCAAGCUAAACUACAGCGACCACGACGUCAUCAAAUGGGUGCGCUACAUCGGCCGGAGUGGCCUCUACGAGACUCGCUGCUAGCCUCCCCACCGUCGGAGCUCCCCUUCCUUCUCCUCCUCCUCCCCCCACUGUCCACUAGCUAACUCUGUCGAGCAUUCCCCAGAGGCCAAUCCGGUGCACCCACCGAGAGUUUGACUGUCGGUGAGGUCUUGCCAGGGUGGCGUCUGUGCACCAACCGCUUCCCUGUGGGCUCGUUAAUUUAUUCGCCCCGUCCGGACCCUUCCUUCGCCCCUUUCGACUUGCAGACUGGUGGGCUUAUUUGGGCGUUUGCUCGUGUCUUUCCACUCUAACCUACAUCGGCUGCCAGUCUAUUUCUUUCCUCGUUUUUCGGUUGUUUUUCUUCGAGCUGCUCCUGUGAUUUCUUGGCCUGUUCUUCUUUUAUUCGAGGCCUUAUUUCUUUUAUUUUUUGUGUGGCUUUCCCUUUUUUUUCUAUAUAUUUGUUUAAAUCUCCUGUUGAAGACUCGAAAGACCACACCCGUUGGGACAUGCGCCAUAUUCUCCGGGGAGGCUCUUGCUGUUCAUUAUUCGUCUGCUAGUGGUGUACCCUCCAGUAUCGAGACGAAAUAAAAAAAGGGGUAGUCUGCACUUAGACCGGGCGGGGCUGCGACAUCGAACCGUUGGUGUGCAGCGUCCCCCGGCAGUGCGACUGCCACUGCAGCCACGUUGUGACGAAUGCUUUGGUGUUGUCCCACAAGCAUGAGAAGUUUCACAGGCAUUAUGGCACGUCGAGUGCGCGAAAUAAAAAUGUAUGUUAACAUUGUU